CUGAGUUGCAAAACUCCCAAACCCAUGUGAACAUACCUGUUGCCUCGGCGGCCUACCCGGCAGCUACCCUGUAGUUACCCUGUAGUCCGCCGACGGACCAUCAAAACUCUGUUUUUUAUGUCUCUCUGAGUAAAAAUCAUAAUAAGUUA
rnacentral:misc_RNA from 1 species